UGGUGGAGCGAUUUGUCUGGUUAAUUCCGAUAACGAAUGAGACUCUAGCCUAUUAAAUAGUUCACCGGUGCACGAAGGCCGGUGCCAACUUCUUAGAGGGACAAGUGGCGCUUAGCCACACGAGAUUGAGCAAUAACA
rnacentral:rRNA from 1 species